UUGCUUUGGCAGCACAUAUGCUAAAAUUGGAACGAUACAGAGAUUAGCAUGGCUCCUGUGCAAGGAUGACAUGGAAAUUCGUGAAGCGUUCCAUAUUUUU
rnacentral:snRNA from 1 species